rnacentral:rRNA from 1 species
GGCAAGUCUGGUGCCAGCAGCCGCGGUAAUUCCAGCUCCAAUAGCGUAUAUUAAAGUUGUUGCAGUUAAAAGUUCGUAGUUGAAAUUCUGCAAACGAAAAGAGGUCGUCCCUUCUGGGUACUGUACUUACUUUUCGUUAGCAUAAUUCUAAGCAAACACAUUGUGUUGGUUUAGAGUGGUUACUUUGAGAAAAUUAGAGUGUUUAAAGCAGGCGAAAUGCCUUUAAUACUCCAGCAUGGAAUAACGAGUGACGACUUGAGGCGUUCUUGUUGGUUUAAGGUCUUGAGUAAUGAUUAAUAGGAACAGUUGGGGCAUUCGUAUUUGGUAGCUAGAGGUGAAAUUCUUAGAUUUACCAAAGACGAACUACUGCGAAAGCAUCUGCCAAGGAUGUUUUCAUUAAUCAAGAACGAAAGUUAGGGGAUCGAAGACGAUUAGAUACCGU